GCAGUAGAUUGUUGGCGAUUGUUGGUCGCAUAUAAUCACACAAAUGUAUUGACCCUUUUAUGCUUGUGUCGUUUAGGAUGGAAGUGAUGUAAAUUAAAAACUAGGUUAUCAAUAGUUGAUGAUAAUUGCUAAAAUUCGCUAAUGAACAUAAUUUUUGCUAAUAUUGAACUGUCUUCUUGCAUACGUGGCAGAGUCUACCACCAAUCAGGAAAGAAGAGAUUUCGAUAGGCGUGGCUUUGAAACACGUAUGCUUGUCUCUCUAAUGUUCAGCAGUCGCCAUAAUUCUUAAGAAGUCGUCGCGUGUGAAUGGUAGUAAUGGUUCUUUGAAAAAGAACAGAUUAUCUCUUGUACAUCUUGCAAUUACUUUAAUCGACAGACAUUCAAUUGAAUAUCAUUGGAAAAAAAAGACAAAAUGGAUAUGCAAACAACGCUAAUAUGUAUAGGGAUAGUUGUUAUCUCAGCGGUGAGUAUACUUCUAAUCUCAUUGUUUGGAAUGAAAGGAAAAUCAUAUGAAGAAGCUAUAGCUGAGCAGAGGAAACUACCCGAUGAUCUUUUAUUGAGUAAGAAGGAUAAGAGCAAGGAUAAAAAGCAUAAGAACAAAUCUGGCAAGAAAGUAAAGGAAAAGAAAGAAAAAGAUGAGAAGGAUGGAAAAGAGGAAAAACAGGAACAUGUUCAGUUUGAGGAAACACCGCAAAUAUUGCCACCUGAAUUGCCAUUGCAGGAGGGUAAUAAGGCAAGUAAGAAGAAAGGUAAGCCUGAAAAGGUAAAGCCGAUCCUCGUUAAUAAAGAUGAACCUUUGGCUAUUGCAUCUGAAAUAAGUUCUUCACAGCAUAUCUUGGGAGAAACUAAUCAUUUUGAGCUUAUUCAACCAAAGGAUGAUCUCGAACUCAUACGGAAUCAUAGUAAAGAAAAUCUUUCACAAAUAAAUCAAAUUAAUCAAUCUGAGCCGAUGGUAAGUAAACCUCUGAAGGAAACUCCUACAAAAUUGAAGAAAAAUGUUAAAGAACCGAUUAAGAAGAAAGAUGAAAAUAUUAAGGAAGAAAAAAAAGAAACAAAUGUUAACGUUAACGUGUCACCUGCUAUUGCAAAUAAAGAAGUUGUAAAAGAGAUUAAAGAUCAGCAGAAGGAAGCAGUUGUAAAGGAAGUAAAAGAAGUGGUUAAAGAUCCUGUACCAGCCGUACAAUUACCUAACAAGGAAUCUAAGAAAACAAAGAAAAAAAAUGAUAUUUUGGCUCAGAUUGGUGGUGAUAAAGAUGCUGUUAACGUUUCUCUUUUGAUGCUUUUCAUUCAAAAAGCUGAACUCAGUCGCUCAGAAAUACAAAUCAUCAUAGAACAACUUUUAAACAUGCAAAUGGACAACCCAUCAGAACAUUCGGAGUGGACUGAAGGUCGUGCUGAUCCUGUGAUUAAAUUAAAGAAGCAAUUAGCAGAAAAGGAAAAAGCAUUGACCGAAGAACACGAAGCUAGCGUUGCAUUUCAAACUAAAUUGAAAGAAUUGCGUAGCGAAUUUAAUGCUGAAAGAUCUAGAUUAUCCGCUAAUGCAAGACAACUGGAGGAAGCACUGAAUAAUAAAAUAACAGAAGCUCAAACUUUGCAUACACGUAUGCAACAUAUUUUGGAGAGCCAUGCUGCUGAAAAACAAGGAUUUGCUAGACAAAUUGAACAAUUACAAACUAAAGUUAACGAAGAUGCUGCAAUUAUUCACAAAAUGCAAGAAGAUCAAGGCCAAACUCAGGGUCAUUUGCAACAGGAAUUAAUAAAUCAGCGUAAACAGUUGGAAGUUCAAUUUGCUCAAAUGCAUGAAGCCGAAUCCACGUUAAAAGCACAAUUGGCACAGAAACACGUAGAAGUACAAGACUUGCAAAAUGAAUUACAAGUAUCUUGUGCUAACAGCACAGCUGAAAUAGAGAUGUUACAGCAGCAAUUAAGCAUAAUGCAGGGCCAAUUGAUGCAUACAGAACAACAGUUGCAACAUUUUAAGGAAUCCAGUGAUAGACUCCAAGAUGUUGCUAGACAAUUGGAGGAAUCUCAUCGUGCUCAUGCCGAUUUAGAUCACAGAUUAAAAAAUUCGCAUCGACAUGAACAAGACUUACAGAAACAAGUUAACUCGUUGCAGGCUGAGUUGAAUGUAGUUAAAGUGGAAGCUAACGAAAUUUCCUCUUUGAAAUCUGAAUUAACUAAAGCUCAAACCGAAUUACUUAAAAUGGAAUCGGAAUUGUCACUAUCGAAGAAUGAAGCAAAUUCUGAGGCUGCAGAAAUUAUAGCAUUAAAUACUGCAUUGUGCGACAUAGAAGAAGAACUUAAAAAAUGUAAAGAAGAACUUGAGUAUGUUUAUAACGACUUGAAGAAAUCUAAAGAAGAAGUUAAGUAUACCGAAUCUAUAUGUAACGAUAUGAAAAAGGAAUUAGAAAGAUUAAACAAUGAUUUGGAUAAAAUGGUCGGUAAUAAUGCACAAUUAAAGGACGAAGCUGUCAAGUAUCAAAACGAGUCACGUAAGCUUCAGGAAGAGCUAUCGCAAUUAAAAAUAAUGCUUGCUAAAGCACACGAACAAAUUAAAACGAAUAAUGAAGCUGCAAGUGAAUUGAAAGUUUUAAAGGCUGAAAUACAGAGACUUCAGAUAGGAGAAAAGAAAUCAAGCGAAAUACAAAUUCAAGUUACGAGAUUACAGGAAGAAAAGGAUAGACUUUCGGCUCAGCUUGUGAAUUUUAUGGAAAUGCAAAAAGAAAUACAAAAAUUGCGCGAAGAGAACGAAUCUUUGGCUUCUCAAUUGACUGCAACUACUGAGCGUCCUGCUGCAGACGGCCAUGAAAAUGGAAUAGAAGAAAAAUUGCAGAAGAAUAAUAUCGAAUUACUGGAACAUGUUAAUUUACUAGCACAGAAAGAUAGUCAGUUGGAUGGUUUGAGAACAGAAUUAACGCAUCAAGAAGCAGAACUCAAUAAAUUAAAUGCACAAGUUGAUGCAUUGAAAAGUGAUAUGAGCAAUAAGAAUAGUUUAGUUGAACGACUGCAAAAUGAUUUGGAUGCACAAAGAUCGAAAAAUAAUGAGCUACGUACUAAAAACUGGAAAGUGAUGGAAGCUCUUUCUGCCGCUGAGUCGCGUGCUAAAUCUAACAAUGGAAAAGGCAUUGUUGAUAUAGCACAGAAAAUUAAGGCAGAACAGCAGGAGCAGACCAAAGCAUUUUUACAAAGGGUAUUUCCGGAGAUUAAAGUUACAGAAACUUCGCACGAGCAAUGGUUGAAUGCCUUUGAAAAUAAAGUAUACUUUUUUAUAAAUACAUUAAAAGACAAAACUGUAGUAGAAGUAAAUCCAGAUAUAGAAAAACAAAAUAUACAUUUACAAGAGAUGGUUUCGCAUUAUAAAAAAAUUAUUGAUGAUACCGAGGGUAUGCUUACUAAAUUGCAAAGUCAUAUAGAAUCCGAAGAAACUAGAUGGCAAGCCCUACUGCAGCAAAAGGAAAGCGAAGUUUCUAAUCUUAGGGUAGAAUUGACUGAAUUACAAACUAAAUUAAAAACAAAUGAAAAGUUUCGAGACAAGGUAUCUGAAUUGGAAGCCAAAUUACAGGAUGCUCAAUUCUUAAGAGAACAGACUAACGCUGAAUUAUCAGUUCUAAAAGUUGCACAGAAAUCUGUUGCAAAUGGAAAUAUGUGCAAUCACGAUCUUGCCGCUUUAGAGAAACUUCAAGAAGAGAAGACAUGGUUGUCGGAAGAACUUCAGACGGAAAGAAAUAAAAGGGCAACAUUAGACGCAUCGGUAGCAAAAUUAAAUGCUCUAGUAGAAACUAGUGAGUCUAGUUUAACGGAAGAGAAAAAUCUCGUAGCACGGCUCCAACAAGAAAUAUCACAACUAAAGAAUGAAGGAUGUGGUGGUUGUAGCAGUUCUGAACAAUCCAUGUUGAACGGGCCUCCUACUUCUGAUUCUCCUAUAUCCGAGCAGUUAAAUAAUCGUAUAUCUGAAAUGCAGACGCCACUAGCAGCGCAAAAUCUGAUUGCUGCAUUAGAAAGUACUUUCCUCAAGAACACAGAGUUUGCAAACUGUUCCAUGACCAAGUCUAUGAAUUUGGUUCAAUCUCAACAAGAAAUUGACAACAGCUCCCUAACUUCAAAAUACUCCUCCAAAUCUUGUCAUAUGACAGAUCACAACACACAGGCUAGUUGGAAUCCAUUGAAUGGCCAGCAACAUAAAAAACACAAGAAAAAAAGGAAGGUAAACCUAUGAAUUUCUGAAUCAAAGAAAUGUUACUGGUUCUCUCUCUAUCUAUGUAUAUAUAUACAUAUAUAUAUUUCUCUAUCUCUUUCUAUUACUGUGUAGGUCCAUUCUCACUUCAGGCUUUAAUAUUAUUAGUACAAAAGAGAAUGCUAUCUAUACUAUUAUUAGAAUGUGUAUUUUUCUGUUUGUCUCACAAACAUAUAUAUGUUGUAUAAAAUGUCGUAUCUUCUUG
rnacentral:misc_RNA from 1 species